rnacentral:lncRNA from 1 species
CCCACAGAUUCUGUACUCAACAUACAGUAUAGUUUAUCUGCUUUAUUUCUGUCUUAUAGAAAUCAUGAAUGUGGUCUCCAGACAUUGAUGAAGAAAGUCUGUUGGUAAUUGAUACAUGCGCAAAAGCAUCAGAGGUUAAACUAAUUUGAAGUCUAUGUUGACACUUGAAAGCUUAGUUUUUUGUUGGUAGAUUCCGAUGCAUGCUAGAAUUUGGGACAAGCACCAUUUGGAUAAGAUACUAAAGACAAUUUUUAAAUGAA